UACGGGGGGGGCAAGCGUUGUUCGGAAUUACUGGGCGUAAAGGGCUCGUAGGCGGCCAACUAAGUCCGACGUGAAAUCCCCAGCUUAACCUGGGAACUGCGUCGGAUACUGGAUGGCUUGAAUUCGGGAGAGGGAUGCAGAAUUCCAGGUGUAGCGGUGAAAUGCGUAGAUAUCUGGAGGAAUACCGGUGGCGAAGGCGGCAUCCUGGACCGACAUUGACGCUGAUGAGCGAAAGCUAGGGGAGCAAACGGGG
rnacentral:rRNA from 1 species